AUUGAACGCUGGCGGCAUGCCUUACACAUGCAAGUCGAACGGUAACGGGCCUUCGGGUGCCGACGAGUGGCGAACGGGUGAGUAAUGCAUCGGAACGUACCUUUCAGUGGGGGAUAACGUAGCGAAAGUUACGCUAAUACCGCAUAUUCUGUGAGCAGGAAAGCAGGGGAUCGCAAGACCUUGCGCUGAUUGAGCGGCCGAUGUCAGAUUAGCUAGUUGGUGAGGUAAAGGCUCACCAAGGCGACGAUCUGUAGCGGGUCUGAGAGGAUGAUCCGCCACACUGGAACUGAGACACGGUCCAGACUCCUACGGGAGGCAGCAGUGGGGAAUUUUUGGACAAUGGGGGCGAACCCUGAUCCAGCCAUGCCGCGUGAGUGAAGAAGGCCU
rnacentral:rRNA from 1 species